rnacentral:rRNA from 1 species
AGUGAACGCUGGCGGUAGGCCUAACACAUGCAAGUCGAACGGCAGCACAGUAAGAGCUCGCUCUUACGGGUGGCGAGUGGCGGACGGGUGAGGAAUACAUCGGAAUCUACUUUUUCGUGGGGGAUAACGGAGGGAAACUUACGCUAAUACCGCAUACGACCUACGGGUGAAAGCAGGGGAUCUUCGGACCUUGCGCGAUUGAAUGAGCCGAUGUCGGAUUAGCUAGUUGGCGGGGUAAAGGCCCACCAAGGCGACGAUCCGUAGCUGGUCUGAGAGGAUGAUCAGCCACACUGGAACUGAGACACGGUCCAGACUCCUACGGGAGGCAGCAGUGGGGAAUAUUGGACAAUGGGCGCAAGCCUGAUCCAGCCAUACCGCGUGGGUGAAGAAGGCCUUCGGGUUGUAAAGCCCUUUUGUUGGGAAAGAAAAGCAGCAGGUUAAUACCCCGCUGUUCUGACGGUACCCAAAGAAUAAGCACCGGCUAACUUCGUG